AGCCACGCCCCCACACGCUGCGCGUGAGGCGGGGCUAAGGGGGCAAAACCCCGAAGGAAGGGAGUUCGAAAACAGAAAAGCGGGCGGGUGUUCCAGGGAGUUCAACGGGCAGGUGAUGCAAAGGGAGGCUGGAGACUCGGCGUAAUCCGUGCAAUAGGGGGGCAGCUGCUGUUCUGUGGAAUUGGCUUCUCUUUCCCUCCUUGCAAAGCAGAAAAUGGUUGUAUUUAUUUAAAUACGGGCAAUUGGAGGUUUGAAUUUCAGCAAUGUGUUGCAAAAGCAAACCGACUAUAGGGGCAGUGAUUCUGGAUGCAAUCUUAAAUGGUGCCUAGGAGCUGGUUGAAUAAAUAUGGGUGUGCAGUUUUAAGUGCGCAGAACGUUUCUUUUUUCACCAGGCCUUUGGUUCUUAAUUAUCUGCGGCCUCCUUGAGUGGAGUUGGAAGAGACCACAAGGGGCAUCCAGUCCAACCCCCUGCCACACCAUCAAAGCAUUAUUGACAUAUGCCUGUCAAGCCUCUGCUUAAAGACCUCCAAAGAAGGAGACUCCACCACACUCCUUGGCAGCAAGUUCCACUGCUGAACAACAUUGGAAGGUAGAAGUUGAACCUUGAACGAGAUGCAAAAAAUACAGCAGCAGGCUGGCUGAGACUCUACCUGCCCGCGGACUGUCUCGCCAGAGUGGUGUAUGCUCUAGUUAUCUCUCGCUUGGAUUACUGCAAUGCGCUCUAUGUGACCCGGAAACUGCAACUAAUCCAAAAUGCGGCAGCUAGACUAGUGACUGGGAGCGGCCGCUGAGACCACAUAACACCGGUCCUGAAAGACCUACAUUGGUUCCCAGUACGUUUCCGAGCACAAUUCAAAGUGUUGGUGCUGACCUUUAAAGCCCUAAAUGGCCUCAAGGGCUCCAGUAUACCUGAAGGAGCGUCUCCACCCCCAUUGCUCUGUCCGGACACUGAGGCCCGGUGCCGAGGGCCUUCUGGUGGUUCCUUCACUACGAGAAGCCAAGCUACAGUGAACCAGGCAGAGGGCCUUCUCGGUAGUGGCACCUGCCCUGUGGAACGCCCUCCCACCAGAUGUCAAAGAGAAAAACAACUACCAGACUUUUAGAAGACAUCUGAAGGAAGCCCUGUUUAGGGAAGCUUUUAAUGUUUAAUAGAUUAUUUUAUUAUUAUUAUUAUUAUUAUUAUUAUUAUUAUUAUUAUUAUUAUUAUUACCCUGUCCACCUGGCUGGGUUUCUUCCAAGAAAAGAUUAAAAAUACAUUAAAACAUUAAAAAUGCUGCAGAUAAAGAAAAUUAAUGGUGCAGAAAUUUGUGCAUACGCAACUACGAAGCCAUGCUAUGAACACAAUUCACCCACCUAUAUCUCCUUGUGCAUUGAGAUCAAAGUCCAUGUAUUUCUCUGGGUGGGGGAAAGAAAAGACAAAACGAACAGGUUAACGUAAGUGCUCAAUAGCCGCCUUGCUAAAUUGGACGCAAAGUCUUUCUAGUCCAAAAUAACCCCCUCUCCAACUAUGGCCAGCUACGUACCCCUAUGAAGGUCACAAACAGGGUGCAAUGAAAGGACUCUGUCUUCAUGGCCGGUUCCCAGCAUCUAGUACUACAAGGUAUACUGCGACUAAAUAUGGAGGUUCUAGUCUUAGCUCUCCAAAAGCGGUUACUAGAUAUACCGGUAUGCUCAACAGGCCUGCCUCAUUCUUUUCUUUCUCUUUAAAAAGAUAAAUUUUAUUUCAUACAAUUGAUACACAAGCUACGUAUUAAAAAUCUCUUUUUUUAAAAUAUACCAACAAUUGAUUUCACAACUUAUAUAAAAUCAAACCAUUUUACUAUUAGAGAACCAGAAAAAAUAUUAAUAGGUAUAAAUGUAAGCAGGACUUAAUAAAGUUGCAAGUUGUUUUAAACUUGCUUUUCAAUAUUGUGUUUUAAUGUUGGAACCUGCCCUUGGACCUUAGUGUGAAGGUAAAAUAAUAAUAAUAAUUAAUAAUAGCAAUUAAUGAAGGGUGCAGAUACUUUGUCUGGUGUCAGACUUGUGCUUCUUUUUGUUUAAAGCUUUCUACUUUUCUUUAAAUGUGUUGAUUUCAUUCCUUCAUAACUACAUAUAAUUAAUUCCCUGCCCUGAAAUUCCCAAAGCUUGUAAUAUGCAGGAAUGAAUUACCAGCUUCCACUUCCAUAAACCUCUCUCCUUCCUUGCAUUGCUGCUACUUCAGUGUUUCUCAACCUUUUUUGGGCCAUGGCACACUUGUUCCGUGAAAAAAAUCACGAGGCACACCACCAUUAAAAAAGUUUAAAAAAUUAACUCUGUGCCGCCCUAUAUUAUAAUUAUGACUGUAAGAAACACUUGCCAAAUAUUGCUUUCCGGCGGGUCAGUGUAGUGAAUUGGCGGCUGCCAGGCUCGUUUGCACUGAGCUUUGGGAAAGAGGAGGAGAAAUAUUGCUUUCCGGCGGGUUAGUGAUGUAUAUUGGCGGCCGCCAGGCACGUGACAAUGCAAAUCGCCCUUCUCGUCGCCGCACGUCGCGGCACACACACCAGCCAGCGUCUCGCGGCACACUAGUGUGCCGCGGGAACAGCGGUUAAGAAACGCUGUGCUACUUUAACAAUGUUCAACUGUUCCCUUACCUUCCUUAUCACAUCUAAUUUAUUAGGCUACUGAUCUUAACCCCCCCCCCACGCCCUUGCAUAGUCAUUGAUGGAUGCUAUUGUUUAUCAACUAUGUAUAUUGUGAUGGUUCACUUUAAAUUUUUGAUUAUUCUGUUAUAGGUAUAUUUAAUAAUCAGUUUUUGUGAAAGUUUCCCUAAACACAGAACUACAUUUUCCAGAGUGGCUUAUCAACCAAUCCCACUUCCCAGGGAACUCUGGGAAUUGUAUCUCUGUGUGGAAUAGCGCGCAGUUCCCAAACAAUUCAUGGCACCUUUAGCAAACUACCUUUCCCAGAAUUCUUUGGGGGAAGCCAUGAAUUUUUAAAGCGAUGUGACAUUGCUUUACAUGUACGGUGCAGAUGUAAAGUACAUACAGUGGAACCUCAGUUUUCGAACAUAAUCUGUUCCAGAAGACCGUUUGACUUCCGAAAUGUUCGAAAACCGAAAAUCAAAGGGCUGUCGGCAAUUUCAGUGUGGGGGAAAGAGGAACACGUGUUAUGUACUGAGCUGAAUCCUAGAACAAUAGGAUCCAGAAUCAGCAGUCUGAUUGGUCCGCAGGAGCCACCCAAUCCAACUCCAGGUGGAAGUGAAUCAGCAAUGUGAUUGGCCUGCGGGAGCAGCCAAUCAGGCUGCAGGCAGAAGUCAAUCCACAACCUGAUUGGCCCACAGGUGUAGCCCUGUAGUAGCCAAUCACGCAAGGCCCAUUGUGUAAAUAAUGUAUAUAAGCAGAUGGUUUGGGGAAAAGAGCCAUUCUUAUUUUCUUCUCCUUGAUGACUACGAGCUGAAUAAGGAGCAUGAAAUUCACUCUCGACUACGAGUAUAUUUCUACACGCUUCGGAAGCCGUUCUGAAAAACAUCCGAAAACCGGAACACACACUUCCGGGUUUUCGGCGUUCGGGAGCCGAAAUGCUCAGCGACAGAACCGUUUGAGAACCGAGGUUUGACUGAAAUGGAAGAAGGAAGUCUAAAAUGGACCAGCCCCAACUGCCUCCAGGGAAGGAAAGCUCAACACUGCCUUACAAGGCGCUGAACAGUUCAUAUGAUUGAGACAUUAAUUUCUCCUCUGGCUACAGUGAUGCAGCUAUUGCCAAAGUUUAGCCCCCUGCCCCGUCCAAAGCACCCCCAACUGACUCCUCUGAGAGUGCUAGGUGAUGGGGGCUUGGGAAUCGGCAAACAGGCCUGGGGUCUGCAUUCCUUUUUUUUAAUUUUCUUUUAAAAAUAUUUCUUAGUUUGGGCAGCUGGCUGGGCAAGCACGUGGUUAUGAAAUGAACAAGCAAAACCAGUUUGACACCCAGAUUUUGCAUCCUUAUUAAAAAAUUUCUUUGUUUACAAAA